rnacentral:tRNA from 1 species
GUUUCAUUAGCUCAGUCAGUUGAGCGUGGUGCUAACAACGCUAAGGUUGCGGGUUCGAUUCCCGUUUGGUUCC